GAUGAACGCUGGCGGCGUGCCUAAUACAUGCAAGUCGAGCGAAUGGAUUAAGAGCUUGCUCUUAUGAAGUUAGCGGCGGACGGGUGAGUAACACGUGGGUAACCUGCCCAUAAGACUGGGAUAACUCCGGGAAACCGGGGCUAAUACCGGAUAACAUUUUGAACCGCAUGGUUCGAAAUUGAAAGGCGGCUUCGGCUGUCACUUAUGGAUGGACCCGCGUCGCGUUAGCUAGUUGGUGAGGUAACGGCUCACCAAGGCAACGAUGCGUAGCCCACCUGAGAGGGUGAUCGGCCACACUGGGACUGAGACACGGCCCAGACUCCUACGGGAGGCAGCAGUAGGGAAUCUUCCGCAAUGGACGAAAGUCUGACGGAGCAACGCCGCGUGAGUGAUGAAGGCUUUCGGGUCGUAAAACUCUGUUGUUAGGGAAGAACAAGUGCUAGUUGAAUAAGCUGGCACCUUGACGGUACCUAACCAGAAAGCCACGGCUGACUACGUGCCAGCCGCCGCCGUAA
rnacentral:rRNA from 1 species